rnacentral:lncRNA from 1 species
UUCCCAAAGCUGAAGGCCCUGCUGUGGAGUGGCUGCAGCAGUGUUAAAGACGGAAACGUUGCUGUGUUUCAGUUUUAGGCAAUCUUCUGCUUUCUAUUUCCACUAUCACAAAGCAUUUUGCAUUCACAAAACAUCUUUUCCUUUUUAAAAGCUGCAAGUAGGCUUCUUGGAUGAGGAAAGAAUCAUUUUGUAUUAGUAGGAACCACAAACGCAAUUGCUGGAAAAAUCAAUGUAGCCUUUGCUUUGGAGCACCUGGUGCCACACUAUGCAUGUUACCUACAUACAUGUGCAGAUGAAGUAGAAAAAUGAGCAGCCUAAGACAGGCUCUUUUUGUUCAAUAGUUGCAGGCAGAGGAAUGAUCACAGAUGGAAAAAAAUCACCCUGCUCAGCUGUAGAGUCAGGCUGCAAUGUGAAAAUGUAAGCAUGAAUCAGAAGGUACCAUCAGCAGGCAGGAGCAUCUCUCCUCCUCUGUGGAGGACUCAGGUGUAGGCACGCUGCUAAUGGAAGGGCUCUUUCCCUGAUGGUUUCUGCAGUGACACCUUUCCUUCUGGGAAGCACCUGGGGCUUCUCUGUGCCUGCAUGCAAACCCUGCUGCCUCAGGAAGAGGAGGUCUGCUCUUCCUCCCCAGCUGCCUCUCCCCGGAGGGGUUUCCCCACCAUGAUCUCAUGGAGCAAUAAUGGGAAAAGUCAUCAGAGAUGUGAAACUGCUCAUGAGUUGUGGUUGCAGAAAAGGGAAAAAUGCUCAAGUGAAAGACUCGGAUCAGGUGUGUGGUUUUUAUACCAUGAGCUAUAUAAAGGAUUGGGACUAGCCACCUACAUUCUGGCUGAAGCUUUGGAGAGUUCUAUUGCUGAUGAUUUCAUUUACUGCUAUUUCUCCAAUGUGCCUCUGGAAGAUAUAUUUCAAAGAAAGUGUUUAGAUGAAGCUGAUGACCUUGCUUAUAGCCGAAUUGCCUGUCACUUCCCAGGAGAAGUCCCCGAUGCCAUUGGUUGGGCUGGGCUCAAGGUUCCUUGGCUGCAUGUCUGCCUCUCACCACGUUCAUGCCAGAGGAGGGUGGUUUUCAGUGUAUCGCUAAAACCACGCUGCUCUUUAUCGUUUGGGGAGGUGAUUCCGACUUUUUCUUCUUGUUUUGUUUAAUCCAUAUGUAGUGAGUUUAUGUGGCAAGGUUUUGGUAGCAGGGGGACAUAGGGGUGGCUUCUGUGAGAAGAAUCUAGAAGCUGCCCCAUGUUAGGUAAGGGCCCCACUCCUGACCAGAGCUGAGCCAAUAAGUGAUGUUGUUUUGC